ACUCAUAUCUGGCAGGGGAGAUACCAUUAUUGUAAAAGUGGUUUUCUCAGGGUAAGGCUCAUCUAUUGCACUUUGGAUGUGCUGACCUCUGUGAUUUCCCCAAAUAUGGGAAAUCAACUGCAUAAGUGAGGAACUGUGUUUGUGGCUUCUCC
rnacentral:snRNA from 1 species